rnacentral:rRNA from 1 species
CCUACGGGAGGCAGCAGUGAGGAAUAUUGGUCAAUGGGCUUACGCCUGAACCAGCCAAGUCGCGUGAGGGAAGACUGCCCUAUGGGUUGUAAACCUCUUUUGUCAGGGAGCAACGCCGGCUACGUGUAGCCGGACUGAGAGUACCUGAAGAAAAAGCAUCGGCUAACUCCGUGCCAGCAGCCGCGGUAAUACGGAGGAUGCGAGCGUUAUCCGGAUUUAUUGGGUUUAAAGGGUGCGUAGGCGGAAUGCCAAGUCAGCGGUAAAAUCGCGGGGCUCAACCUCGCUCCGCCGUUGAAACUGGCGUUCUUGAGUGAGCGAGAAGUAGGCGGAAUGCGUGGUGUAGCGGUGAAAUGCAUAGAUAUCACGCAGAACUCCGAUUGCGAAGGCAGCAUACCGGCGCUCAACUGACGCUGAGGCACGAAAGCGUGGGGAUCGAACAGGAUUAGAUACCCGGGUAGUC